rnacentral:misc_RNA from 1 species
UCUCCGUAGGUGAACCUGCGGAGGGAUCAUUACAGAGUUCAUGCCCUACCGGGUAGAUCUCCCACCCUAUGUUAUUAUUACUUUGUUGCUUUGGCGGGCCGUUAGGCUCCGGCCCGACUACCGGCCCCGGCUGGUAAGCGCCCGCCAGAGGACCCAAAACCCUGAAUAUUAGUGUCGUCUGAGUACUAUAUAAUAGUUAAAACUUUCAACAACGGAUCUCUUGGUUCUGGCAUCGAGAAGAACGCAGC